rnacentral:rRNA from 1 species
GGAAUUACUGGGCGUAAAGCGCGCGUAGGUGGUUUAUUAAGUUGGAUGUGAAAUCCCCGGGCUCAACCUGGGAACUGCAUCCAAAACUGAUUCACUAGAGUACGAUAGAGGGAGGUAGAAUUCACAGUGUAGCGGUGGAAUGCGUAGAUAUUGUGAAGAAUACCAAUGGCGAAGGCAGCCUCCUGGAUCUGUACUGACACUGAGGUGCGAAAGCGUGGGUAGCGAACAGGAUUAGAUACCCUGGUAGUCCACGCCGUAAACGAUGUCAACUAGCUGUUGGAAAACUAUGUUUUUCAGUGGCGCAGCUAACGUAGUAAGUUGACCGCCUGGGGAGUACGGCCGCAAGGCUAAAACUCAAAUGAAUUGACGGGGACCCGCACAAGCGGUGGAGCAUGUGGUUUAAUUCGAUGCAACGCGAAAAACCUUACCUAUACUUGACAUACUUGGAAUGCUUUGUAAUGAAGCAGUGCCUUCGGGAGCCAAGAUACAGGUGCUGCAUGGCUGUCGUCAGCUCGUGUCGUGAGAUGUUCCGUUAAGUCGGAUAACGAGCGCAACCCUUACCCUUAUUUGCCAGCGAUUCGGUCGGGAACUAUAAGGGGACUGCCGGUGAUAAACCGGAGGAAGGUGAGGACGACGUCAAGUCAUCAUGGCCCUUACGUAUAGGGCUACACACGUGCUACAAUGGAGAAUACAGACGGACGCUAAGCCGCGAGGUGGUGCUAAUCCUAGAAAAUUCUUCGUAGUCCGGAUUGGAGUCUGCAACUCGACUCCAUGAAGUCGGAAUCGCUAGUAAUCGCGAAUCAGCAUGUCGCGGUGAAUACGUUCUCGGGUCUUGUACACACCGCCCGUCAUACCAUGGAAGUGGAUUGCACCAGAAGUAGAUAGUCUAACCUUCGGGAG